ACCCAGACUCCUACGGGAGGCAGCAGUGGGGAAUAUUGCACAAUGGGGGAAACCCUGAUGCAGCGACGCCGCGUGAGCGAUGAAGUAUUUCGGUAUGUAAAGCUCUAUCAGCAGGGAAGAAGAUGACGGUACCUGACUAAGAAGCCCCGGCUAACUACGUGCCAGCAGCCGCGGUAAUACGUAGGGGGCAAGCGUUAUCCGGAUUUACUGGGUGUAAAGGGAGCGUAGACGGCGAUGCAAGCCAGAUGUGAAAGCCCGGGGCUCAACCCCGGGACUGCAUUUGGAACUGUGUGGCUGGAGUGUCGGAGAGGCAGGCGGAAUUCCUAGUGUAGCGGUGAAAUGCGUAGAUAUUAGGAGGAACACCAGUGGCGAAGGCGGCCUGCUGGACGAUGACUGACGUUGAGGCUCGAAAGCGUGGGGAGCAAACAGGAUUAGAUACCCUUGUA
rnacentral:rRNA from 1 species